rnacentral:rRNA from 1 species
GAUGAACGCUAGCGGGAGGCUUAACACAUGCAAGUCGAGGGGCAGCAUAAGGUAGCAAUACUUUGAUGGCGACCGGCGCACGGGUGAGUAACGCGUAUGUAACCUGUCCUUAACAGGAGGAUAACCCGGAGAAAUUCGGACUAAUACUGCAUAAAAUUAUAAAUAGGCAUCUAUUAAUAAUUAAAGCUACGGCGGUUAGGGAGGGGCAUGCGUAACAUUAGCUGGUUGGUAGGGUAACGGCCUACCAAGGCAAUGAUGUUUAGGGGACCUGAGAGGGUGACCCCCCACACUGGUACUGAGACACCGGACCAGACUCCUACGGGAGGCAGCAGUGAGGAAUAUUGGUCAAUGGGCGGCAGCCUGAACCAGCCAUCCCGCGUGAAGGAAGAAUGCGCUAUGCGUUGUAAACUUCUUUUUCAGGGGGAUAAAAUUCUGUAUGUAUACAGGACUGAAGGUACCCUGAGAAUAAGCAUCGGCUAACUCCGUGCCAGCAGCCGCGGUAAUCUGU